UCUCUGAUGGCUUAGCUGGUAAAGAAUCCGCCUGCAGUGCAGGAUACCCAGGUUCAAUCCCUGGGUUGGGAA
rnacentral:tRNA from 1 species